rnacentral:lncRNA from 1 species
UGGUGAGGAUGGAAAUCCUUUCCUCUUGCCUUGAAAUUGAUAUGUCUGUUGAUUCGGUGAAGCAUUAUGCAAGGCAUGGGGAGGUGCCACUGCUGUUUGGAAAGUCGAGGUCUUCUCAUUUAGGUGAGUCUGGCUUCCACCUCCCACUUGUUGAUAAAUGAUGGUUGUAGGGGGUUUCUCCUGAUAUGUCUUUGCCUCGGCGGAGGCAUGGUUAUAAGCCUGCGCCA